GAUGAACGCUGGCGGCUUGCCUAAUACAUGCAAGUCGAGCGAAUAGACGACGAGCUUGCUCCUCUGACGCUAGCGGCGGACGGGUUAGUACCACGUGGAUAACCUCCCUUUAAGACUGGGAUAACUUCGGGAAACCGGAGCCAAUACCGUCUAAUAUUUUGAACCGUAUGGUUCAAUAGCGAAAUCCGGCUUUGCUGCCACUUAUAGAUGGAUCCGCGGCGCAUUAGCUAGUUGGUAAGGUAUAGUCUUACUAAGUUGACGAUGCGUAGUCGACCUGAGAGAAUGAUCAGACACAAUGGAACUGAGACAAGAUCAAGACUGCUACGGGAGGCAGCAGUAGGGAAUAUUGCACAAUGGGCGAAAGCUUGAAGGAGCAACGCCGCGUGAGUGAAGAAGGUCUUCGGAUCGUAAAACUCUAUUAUGAGGGAGGAACAGAGGUGUAAUAAACAAUGCACGUCUUGAAGGUACCAAGUCAAGAAGCAACGGCUAACUACGUG
rnacentral:rRNA from 1 species